rnacentral:rRNA from 1 species
AUGGAAGGCUUGCUGCCGUUCCUGUACAGGGCCAUCAUCCUCCACUACGCGGAAGGCGGGUGGCGGACGGACACCGGAGACAACCCCUUCCUCGACGGCGACUCGCCAUCGGCCUCUCAGUACUACUACGUCCGCCUCACUGGCAGCCCUGACGACUCCAGUCAACUAGGGUUUGCCGCCGCUCCUCCGGCCAGCCACGGCGCGGUCCUGUGA